rnacentral:lncRNA from 1 species
UUUUGUAUGGUUGGAUGGUUGGUCUGGGAUAGUUUAACUCUGUUGGGUUGGCCUAUCUAGGGUCAGUUAUCAGCUUUCUCGAGCCGGCAGAUAUACACCUUCAACCUCUUUUGUUUAGAGGCCUACUUUCGGACCAAAUUACUUUAAGUAUGGGAGUUCGGGAGACACUAAAGGUAUUUUCCUAUCUUUUUUCCUUCAGGUCAAUUCACUCAGCAAGCAACUUUCACUGCUCUAGUUUUGACAAGUUGGGGUGGUUAUGGAAAUAGUAUGGGUUGUCUAAAAUAUGGGUGUGGUAGCCAAGAUCGGGGUGGCAACCAGUCUAACAGAGGUAGAGGACAAU